UACGAAGGGUGCAAACGUUGCUCGGAAUUAUUGGGCGUAAAGCGCACGUAGGCGGCAUUGCAAGUCCCAUGUGAAAGCCCACGGCUUAACCGUGGAGGUGCAUGGGAAACUGCAGUGCUUGAGUACUUAAGAGGAUCGCGGAAUUCCCGGUGUAGAGGUGAAAUUCGUAGAUAUCGGGAGGAACACCAGUGGCGAAGGCGGCGAUCUGGGAAGAUACUGACGCUGAGGUGCGAAAGCGUGGGGAGCAAACAGG
rnacentral:rRNA from 1 species